GCUCCUUCAUGCCCUUCAUCUUCUCACUCUGGAAAGUGAGCACUGGACCCUCCGGCGGUGGUGAUGCUGUGGGUGCUGGCACCUGAGCCGUGCUGCCACCUUCAGGGCCUCGGGCUGUGCCAGCGACAGUCCCAGGAGGCUUCCGGGGGGGUCCUGACACUGCACCCUGGCCGGUGCCCAGGCCCUUGUCCAGUGCUGGCUUCUUGGGCGGCGGGGGCUCCUCUGGCUUGGACUCCCGCCGUGGGCCCCGCCGCCGGCCUUCCCGGGCUUCCUCGCCCCACGGCUCCUCGGCCUCGGCCGCCUCGGCCUCUCGGCUCACUAUGCGCACCUUCUGCCGCACCUGUCCCUCAAAACGGCCUAGGGACUGCACAAGAAAGGUGGCCCAGCCCACAUGCAGCACAGGCGUGGGACUGCCCUCCUCCCAUUUGCAGAUGCCGUCGUAGAAUCGCAGCAGGUGGGCGAAGCAC
rnacentral:lncRNA from 1 species